GGCCCGCACAAGCGGCGGAGCAUGCGGCUUAAUUCGAUGCAACGCGAAGAACCUUACCUAGGCUUGACAGUUGGGGAAAACUGGCAGAGAUGCCAGGUCCGUAAGGGCCCCAAAACAGGUGGUGCAUGGCUGUCGUCAGCUCGUGUCGUGAGAUGUUGGGUUAAGUCCCGCAACGAGCGCAACCCUCGUCGUAUGUUGCCAGCGGAUAAUGCCGGGGACUCAUACGAGACUGCCGGGGUCAACUCGGAGGAAGGUGGGGACGACGUCAAGUCAUCAUGCCCCUUAUGUCUAGGGCUGCACGCAUGCUACAAUGGCCGGUACAGAGGGCUGCGAAACCGCAAGGUAGAGCGAAUCCCAAAAAGCCGGUCUCAGUUCGGAUUGGGGUCUGCAACUCGACCCCAUGAAGUCGGAGUCGCUAGUAAUCGCAGAUCAGCAACGCUGCGGUGAAUACGUUCCCGGGCCUUGUACACACC
rnacentral:rRNA from 1 species